UUCUAUAUAUACAAUUAGAUUAUAUUAUCAUGUCUUUCACCCAUUUCAUGCAUCUCGUGCUCGGUAUAAUGUCCUAUUUAUAUUUACUUAUCUGUAAUCAUUAUCUAUUUGUAAACCGAGUACAUAAAAUACAAGCACCACACAUUCCGCGGUUAUCAACACAGUCCACAUCGGUUCCCUUCAGUUAUCCCGUAUUUUAGGAUACUUAUUGUACUACAUUCAAGAAGUAUUUUGUUAAUAAAUGGUGAAAUUGGAAUCUUGGUUUUUCUGAGGCAACCAAAGACAGGAGUUUAUAACAUACUGAUGUCAGAAGUGGGAUAGAUAUAAACAUAUUUUUUAUCCGACAAAUACAACAAGAAGUCCAACUUAAUCGUCAGAAACUGAUAAGUCUUCUAAACCUGGAAUUAAUAAAAAACUCGCUCCUAAUUUUAGAAGUCCAUAUAAAUUUUUUAUAAAAGUUUACCCUGGCCAAACCAUAGUAAAACUCCAGAUGAGGACCAAUAAGAUACCCAUUUAUUUUCUCAUGCUUUACGUGGCAACUAUACUUCUUCUUGGAAAUUGUUGAAGUGAUAUGUAUGCAAUAACACAGAUUAAUUCUGCUGCGGAAUUUUUUUAUGAUAACUUAGGAAAUGUGAAAACUUUCAGUAGUCACCUCUCUUGAUCACUUAUAGUAACAUCUCAAUAUAUCAACGGAAAGCACUCCUUAUAAAAAAUAUUUUUACUAAAAGUCAAGCGAUUUGUAAUGUUUCUAAAGAUUUUGAUAAUUCAUUGAUAUUCUGUAUUCAAUCUUUAAGACUUAUGGAAGUUCAGAUUUUACAAAUAGAAAAAAAAUAGAAAUUAUAUCUCACUUAACAGGCCAUAAUUUUACACAUUCUCGUAAGAAACGUGGAAUUGUCAAUGGAGUAUCAACUGGAUUAAAAUGGUUAUUUGGAAUACCUGAUGCUGAUGACCCCAAACAACAUACCAUUUUUUUUUACACCAGUUCUGGAAGAUGGGCAAGAUGGCUUGCGCCAAAGUAUCCCUGCGCCAAGUUGGCUUUGCGCCAAAAUGUCUCGCGCCAAGUCGGCCGCGCCAAAUAGUCCCAUUCCGCAUAUGAGGAUAUAUAUAGCGUCCAAACCAAUACAUUCACUAAUUCAGAUUACUGUUCUUCUUCUGGUAUUGCUUGAAAGAAACCUGCAUUUCGUGCUCUAAAUACCUGUUUACUUCUCAACAAAUUGCUACAAAUGGGAUAUCCGAAAACGGUGCUUUGCGAAUAUUCGUGUUCCUGAAAUGAAAAGGAGAAAGAUGGCUGAUAUUGAAGAAGCACUUCUUGAUUUUAUAUCAAAAGGUUAUGCCGAAGACUGGAUCUUACAUGAGAUGUUCAUGAAGACACCAUAAACUUUAAUAUGUCAUGUUAAGAAACGCAUCAAGUACUUUAGAGAACAUAACGAUUAUUACUACUAUACGCAAGAAA